GUGGAUUAGAUACCCGGGUAGUCCUAGCCGUAAACGAUGUGGACUUGGCGUAGGCGGGUUGAAAUCCAUCUGUGCCGAAGCAAACGCGAUAAGUCCACCACCUGGGGACUACGGCCGCAAGGCUAAAACUCAAAGGAAUUGACGGGGGCCCGCACAAGCAGCGGAGCGUGUGGUUUAAUUCGAUGUUACACGAAGAACCUUACCAGGGUUUGACAUGCAAGUGGUAGAGAAGCGAAAGCGGAACGACCCUUCGGGGAGCUUGCACAGGUGUUGCAUGGUCGUCGACAACU
rnacentral:rRNA from 1 species